rnacentral:misc_RNA from 1 species
AAGUCGUAACAAGGUUUCCGUAGGUGAACCUGCGGAAGGAUCAUUCACAAUGAGUGUUUAAUGGCACUUCAAAUCCAUUACCCACCUUGUGUGCAUUGUCGGGGAGGACUCUCUCAAUCUCUCUCUCUCUUCUCUCUCUCUCACUCAGAGGGAGGGAGGAGAAAGGGGGGGGAGGAGGGGGAGGUUCCUCUCUUCUUUCUAUACACACUGUUCUCAGUAUCAGUCUACUUCAAUUGAGUACAAAACUCGAAUACAACUUUCAACAACGGAUCUCUUGGCUCUC